CCUACGGGGGGCAGCAGUGGGGGAUAUUGCACAAUGGGGGAAACCCUGAUGCAGCGACGCCGCGUGGGCGAAGAAGUAUUUCGGUAUGUAAAGCCCUAUCAGCAGGGAAGAAGGAGGACGGUACCUGACUAAGAAGCCCCGGCUAACUACGUGCCAGCAGCCGCGGUAAUACGUAGGGGGCAAGCGUUAUCCGGAUUUACUGGGUGUAAAGGGGGCGCAGACGGCAGCGCAAGCCAGGAGUGAAAGCCCGGGGCCCAACCCCGGGACUGCUCUUGGAACUGCGCGGCUGGAGUGCAGGAGGGGCAGGCGGAAGUCCUGGUGUAGCGGUGAAAUGCGUAGAUAUCAGGAGGAACACCGGUGGCGAAGGCGGCCUGCUGGACUGCGACUGACGUUGAGGCCCGAAAGCGUGGGGAGCAAACAGGAUUAGAUACCCGAGUAGUC
rnacentral:rRNA from 1 species